rnacentral:rRNA from 1 species
UACGAGGGGUCCUAGCGUUGUUCGGAAUCAUUGGGCGUAAAGGGUGUGUAGGUGGCUAUGUAAGUCAGGUGUGAAAGCCCCGGGCUCAACCCGGGAAGUGCAUCUGAUACUGCGUAGCUUGAAUACCGAAGAGGAUAGUGGAAUUCCAGGUGUAGUGGUGAAAUACGUAGAUAUCUGGAGGAACACCAGUGGCGAAGGCGGCCUUCUGGACCAAUACUGACGCUCAUGCACGAAAGCGUGGGGAGCAAACAGG